UACGGAGGGGGCUAGCGUUGUUCGGAAUUACUGGGCGUAAAGCGCACGUAGGCGGCUUUGUAAGUUAGGGGUGAAAGCCCGGGGCUCAACUCCCGGAAUUGCCUUUAAGACUGCAUCGCUAGAAUUGUGGAGAGGUAAGUGGAAUUCCGAGUGUAGAGGUGAAAUUCGUAGAUAUUCGGAAAGAACACCAGUGGCGAAGGCGACUUACUGGACACAUAUUGACGCUGAGGUGCGAAAGCGUGGGGAGCAAACAGGGAUUAAGAAACCCCGGU
rnacentral:rRNA from 1 species